rnacentral:rRNA from 1 species
GAUGAACGCUGGCGGCGUGCCUAAUACAUGCAAGUCGAGCGAACAGACGCGGCGCUUGCUCCUCUCUCGUUAGCGGCGGACGUGUGUGUAACACGUGUAUCCCCUACCUAUCUUACUGGGAUCAUUUCGAGAAUCCGGCGAUAAUCCCGUAGAAUCUAUUGCACCGCAUGGUUCAAUAGUGAAAGUCGGCUUUUCCGUCGGUUGUGGAUGGAUUGCCGCCUGAUCAGCUAGUUGGUUGGGUAGCGGCUUACCAAGGCUACGCCGGGUAGCCGGCCUGAGAGGGUGACCGGCCACAGUGGGACUGAGAUACGGACCAGACGCCUACGGGAGGCAGCAGUGGGGAAUAUUGCACAAUGGGCGGAAGCCUGAUGCAGCAACGCCGUGUGCGGGAUGACGGCUUUCGGGUUGUAAACAGCUUUCGCCGGUGACGAAGCGUGAGUGACGGUAAUGGGUAAAGAAGCACCGGCUAACUACGUG